CCUAACCUUCCCGUUACUCUUGGAUAGCCUUCCGAAAGGGAGAUUAAUACAAGAUGGUAUUCAAAUUCCGCAUGUUAUUUGAAUUAAAGAUUUAUCGGUAACGGAUGGGGAUGCGUGACAUUAGAUAGUAGGCGGGGUAACGGCCCACCUAGUCUACGAUGUCUAGGGGUUCUGAGAGGAAGGUCCCCCACACUGGAACUGAGACACGGUCCAGACUCCUACGGGAGGCAGCAGUGAGGAAUAUUGGUCAAUGGCCGAGAGGCUGAACCAGCCAUGCCGCGUGAAGGUCACGGCCCUAUGGGUCUUAAACUUCUUUUGUAAGGGAGCAAUAAGGUUCACGUGUGGACUGAUGAGAGUACCUUACGAAUAAGCAUCGGCUAACUCCGUG
rnacentral:rRNA from 1 species